CAGGAUACAGUUAGGACUAGAAGCAAUAAAAGUUCUAAACCUGUUCUUGAAGGACUUGAGACUAGCAGGAGGCCGAGAAGAAAUAGAUUAUCUAGAGAACCUUCUAUAGAGAAAAUUUCACAGGCCUCCUAACCUGAUCUGGAAAGCAUGGAGAACAAUGGUGGUAAGUGCACCCUUGUUGAUUAUGUGACAGUUAUUG
rnacentral:lncRNA from 1 species